rnacentral:rRNA from 1 species
GAUAAACGUUGGCGGCGUGCCUAACGCAUGCAAGUCGCACGGGGCGCAAGCCUAGUGGCGGACGGGUGAGUAACACGUAGGAACCUGCCCAGAAGUGGGGGACAACUCUCCGAAAGGAGAGCUAAUACCGCAUACGGUCUACGGACCAAAGCUUCGGCGCUUCUGGAGGGGCCUGCGGUGGAUUAGCGAGUUGGUGGGGUAACGGCCUACCAAGGCGACGAUCCAUAGCUGGUCUGAGAGGAUGGUCAGCCACACUGGGACGGAGACACGGCCCAGACUCCUAAGGGAGGCAGCAGUGGGGAAUAUUGGACAAUGGGCGGAAGCCUGAUCCAGCAACGCCGCGUGAGGGAUGACGGCCUUCGGGUUGUAAACCUCUUUCAGCAGGGACGAAGCGCAAGUGACGGUACCUGCAGAAGAAGCACCGGCCAACUACGUGCCAGCCGCCGCGGUAAAAC